rnacentral:rRNA from 1 species
GAUGAACGCUGGCGGCGUGCCUAAUACAUGCAAGUCGAGCGAACAGACGAGGAGCUUGCUCCUCUGACGUUAGCGGCGGACGGGUGAGUAACACGUGGAUAACCUACCUAUAAGACUGGGAUAACUUCGGGAAACCGGAGCUAAUACCGGAUAACAUGUUGAACCGCAUGGUUCAACAGUGAAAGACGGUUUUGCUGUCACUUAUAGAUGGAUCCGCGCCGCAUUAGCUAGUUGGUAAGGUAACGGCUUACCAAGGCAACGAUGCGUAGCCGACCUGAGAGGGGGAUCGGCCACACUGGAACUGAGACACGGUCCAGACUCCUACGGGAGGCAGCAGUAGGGAAUCUUCCGCAAUGGGCGAAAGCCUGACGGAGCAACGCCGCGUGAGUGAAGAAGGUCUUCGGAUCGUAAAACUCUGUUAUUAGGGAAGAACAAAUGUGUAAGUAACUAUGCACGUCUUGACGGUACCUAAUCAGAAAGCCACGGCUAACUACGU